CUGGAGUUUUCAGGAUUUACCUGACUGUAAAAGAUCUGUGACAGCUUUUGGCAUUUGAGUGUUAGGCAGAACGCUUUUCCAGUAUACUUCGGGAGGGAGGGCUGCAUGACUCGUCGCUAGUGCAAUCUGCAACAAAGCGAUCCGGUUGGGCUUUAUUGUGAAUCUUUCUGCUCCUCAACUUGCUGAACUUCCUGUUGCCCAUUGCCAUUUAUGGACUAGAGAUGCUUUAAUGCCCGGCCUAACUACCAAAGGAAAUUAUGCCCCCAAUAAAUUGAUGUACUGCAUAACUGUUCUGGUGUCCUAUUCGUCUCUCUUCUUCUCCUCAUUUAUAAUCUAUUAUCUGUAUAAUAUGUAUACAUUUCCUCAUGAAAAUUCUAUUUGACAAUAUUUCAUGAAGCUAUGUCAUGCAUGCCUUCAAUUAAAAGAAAAUUGUGUAGCUUAUCAAAAAGAUUAAUUGUGAUAUUAAAUAAUAACAUAUAAUAAACUUAUUUAAUGAUAAAA